GACGAACGCUGGCGGCGUGCCUAAUACAUGCAAGUAGAACGCUGAAGGAGGAGCUUGCUUCUCUGGAUGAGUUGCGAACGGGUGAGUAACGCGUAGGUAACCUGCCUGGUAGCGGGGGAUAACUAUUGGAAACGAUAGCUAAUACCGCAUAAGAGUAGAUGUUGCAUGACAUUUGCUUAAAAGGUGCAAUUGCAUCACUACCAGAUGGACCUGCGUUGUAUUAGCUAGUUGGUGGGGUAACGGCUCACCAAGGCGACGAUACAUAGCCGACCUGAGAGGGUGAUCGGCCAGACUGGGACUGAGACACGGCCCAGACACCUACGGGAGGCAGCAGUAGGGAGUCUUCGGCAAUGGACGGAAGUCUGACCGAGCAACGCCGCAUGAGUGAAGAAGGUUGUCGGAUCGUAAAGCUCGGUUGUAAGAGAAGAACGAGGGUGAGAGUGGAAAGUUCACACUGUGACGGUAUCUUACCAGAAAGGGACGGCUAACUACGUG
rnacentral:rRNA from 1 species